AUUGAACGCUGGCGGAAUGCUUAAAAAAGCAAAGUGGAAGGGCAGCACGGGGGCAGCCUUGGUGGCGGGGGGCGAAGGGGGGGGUAAUACAUGGGAACGGCCCGGGUCGGGGGGGAUAACGUAGGGAAGGUUACGCUAAUACCGCAUCGGACCGGGGGAGAAAGGCGGGGGACCUUCGGGCCUCGGGCGUUCGGACGGCCCGAUGUCAGAUUAGGUAGUUGGUGGGGUAAAGGCCUACCAAGCCGACGAUCUGUGGCUGGUCUGAGAGGACGACCAGCCACACUGGGACUGAGACACGGCCCAGACUCCUACGGGAGGCAGCAGUGGGGAAUUUUGGACAAUGGGCGCAAGCCUGAUCCAGCCAUUCCGCGUGCAGGACGAAGGCCUUCGGGUUGUAAACUGCUUUUGUACGGAACGAAAAGGCUCUGGCUAAUACCUGGGGCUCAUGACGGUACCGUAAGAAUAAGCACCGGCUAACUACGUG
rnacentral:rRNA from 1 species